GCCGGGGUGGUGAAACUGGUAGACACAGGGGAUUCAAAAUCCCCCGCCUUCACGGGCUUGCGGGUUCGAGUCCCGCCCCCGGUACCA
rnacentral:tRNA from 1 species